rnacentral:rRNA from 1 species
UACGUAGGGGGCAAGCGUUGUCCGGAUUUAUUGGGCGUAAAGAGCGUGUAGGCGGUUAGGUAGGUCCGUUGUGAAAACUCGAGGCUCAACCUCGAGACGCCGAUGGAAACCAUCUAACUAGAGUCCGGAAGAGGAGAGUGGAAUUCCUGGUGUAGCGGUGAAAUGCGCAAGUAUCAGGAAGAACACCCGUGGCUAAGGCGGCUCUCUAGUACGGUACUGACGCUGAGACGCGAAAGCGUGGGGAGCGAACAGG